rnacentral:rRNA from 1 species
GAUGAACGCUAGCGGCAGGCUUAACACAUGCAAGUCGAGGGGUAGGUUACUUCGGUAACUGAGACCGGCGCACGGGUGCGUAACGCGUAUGCAAUCUACCUUAUACAGGGGGAUAGCCCAGAGAAAUUUGGAUUAAUACCCCAUAGUAUUACGAAAUAGCAUGGUUUUGUAAUUAAAGUUCCAACGGUAUAAGAUGAGCAUGCGUCCCAUUAGCUAGUUGGUGUGGUAACGGCACACCAAGGCAACGAUGGGUAGGGGUCCUGAGAGGGAGAUCCCCCACACUGGUACUGAGACACGGACCCGACUCCUACGGGAGGCAGCAGUGAGGAAUAUUGGUCAAUGGGCGCAAGCCUGAACCAGCCAUGCCGCGUGCAGGAUGACGGUCCUAUGGAUUGUAAACUGCUUUUGUACAGGAAGAAACACUCCCUCGUGAGGGAGCUUGACGGUACUGUAAGAAUAAGGAUCGGCUAACUCCGUGCCAGCCGCCGCAGUAAAAC